rnacentral:rRNA from 1 species
GACGAACGCUGGCGGCGUGCUUAACACAUGCAAGUCGAACGGAAAGGCCCUGCUUUUGUGGGGUGCUCGAGUGGCGAACGGGUGAGUAACAAGUGAGUAACCUGCCCUUGACUUUGGGAUAACUUCAGGAAACUGGGGCUAAUACCGGAUAGGAGCUCCUGCUGCAUGGUGGGGGUUGGAAAGUUUCGGCGGUUGGGGAUGGACUCGCGGCUUAUCAGCUUGUUGGUGGGGUAGUGGCUUACCAAGGCUUUGACGGGUAGCCGGCCUGAGAGGGUGACCGGCCACAUUGGGACUGAGGUACGGCCCAGCCUCCUACGUGAGGCAGCAGUGGGGAAUAUUGCACAAUGGGCGGAAGCCUGAUGCAGCACCUCCGCGUGCGGGAUGCCGGCCUUCGGGUUGUAAACCGCUUUCGCCUGUGACGAAGCGUGAGUGACGGUAAUGGGUAAAGAAGCACCGGCUAACUACGG